rnacentral:rRNA from 1 species
AUUGAACGCUGGCGGCAGGCCUAACACAUGCAAGUCGAACGGUAGCAGGAAGAAGCUUGCUUCUUUGCUGACGAGUGGCGGACGGGUGAGUAAUGUCUGGGAAACUGCCUGAUGGAGGGGGAUAACUACUGGAAACGGUAGCUAAUACCGCAUAACGUCGCAAGACCAAAGAGGGGGACCUUCGGGCCUCUCGCCAUCGGAUGUGCCCAGAUGGGAUUAGCUAGUAGGUGGGGUAACGGCUCACCAAGGCGACGAUCCCUAGCUGGUCUGAGAGGAUGACCAGCCACACUGGAACUGAGACACGGUCCAGACUCCUACGGGAGGCAGCAGUGGGGAAUAUUGCACAAUGGGCGCAAGCCUGAUGCAGCCAUGCCGCGUGUAUGAAGAAGGCCUUCGGGUUGUAAAGUUCUUUCAGCGGGGAGGAAGGGAGUAAAGUUAAUACCUUUGCUCAUUGACGUUACCCGCAGAAGAAGCACCGGCUAACUCCGUGCCAGCAGCCGCGGUAAUACGGAGGGUGCAAGCGUUAUUCGGAAUUACUGGGCGUAAAGCGCACGCAGGCGGUUUGUUAAGUCAGAUGUGAAAUCCCCGGGCUCAACCUGGGAACUGCAUCUGAUACUGGCAAGCUUGAGUCUAGUAGAGGGGGGUAGAAUUCCAGGUGUAGCGGUGAA